CCUACGGGAGGCAGCAGUGGGGGAUAUUGCACAAUGGGGGGAACCCUGAUGCAGCGACGCCGCGUGGGUGAAGGAGCGUUUCGGCGCGUAAAGCCCUAUCGGCAGGGAAGAAGGAGGACGGUACCUGACUAAGAAGCCCCGGCUAACUACGUGCCAGCAGCCGCGGUAAUACGUAGGGGGCAAGCGUUAUCCGGAUUUACUGGGUGUAAAGGGGGCGCAGACGGCAGCGCAAGCCAGGAGUGAAAGCCCGGGGACCAACCCCGGGACUGCUCUUGGAACUGGGCGGCUGGAGUGGAGGAGGGGCAGGCGGAAUUCCUGGUGUAGCGGUGAAAUGCGUAGAUAGCAGGAGGAACACCGGUGGCGAAGGCGGUCUGCUGGACUGCGACUGACGUUGAGGCCCGAAAGCGUGGGGAGCAAACAGGAUUAGAUACCCUUGUAGUC
rnacentral:rRNA from 1 species